rnacentral:lncRNA from 1 species
GGGGUACUGAUGCUGUGCAGAGGAUACCGUUUCUGGAAGUGGGCUGUAUACCACCCCUCACAAUGGGCUAUUGGAUGGUGGUCACAGCUGUCUUACUCCAUCUUACAGUUGAGGAAAACUGAGGCCUGGAGAGACUAUCAAAUUGCUCCAAGGUCACAGUCCCCUGACACAGUUCCUCUUGACCUUGCUGCCUUCUGCCCUAGGUUCUGACACUAGUCUCCUGCAUAUCCUUUCCUGUCUGAGCCUCAUUUUCUCUGUUCCUAGAAGGAGAAAGAUGGAGCAUUAAUUCAACAAUACUUACUGAGCACCUACUAUAAACCAGGCCCCAUCCUAGGCCUGGAGAUUCAGCACUAAUAAGAUAGCCAGGUCUCUGGCCUCACAGAUCUUACACAAAGCUGGCAAGAUAGACAGGAACCGAUGAGCAAGCAAAUGGAAUAGUAAAAGCAAAAACCUUUCAUAGCAAGAGCAAUGGAAGAAAUAAAUGGGGAGUAUGAAGCGUUAUCUGUGGGUGUGGAAAAGUCGUUUUAAACUGGAAGGAAUUAGGGUUCUCCAAAGAAGUGACCUCAGAGAAGAGAGUCUGUCACGGGCAGAUCAAGAGGAAGAGCAGAGACAAAGAUCUCAAUGCUAAUAAGACCCUUGGGAGAGUUAGAAGUUCUUGUCCUAGACAGAGAUGCCCUUUACCUGACUCCAUCAGGAUGGUGGCAAAAUAUGGGAUUCGAAUCCAGGACCACCGUAACCCUUUCCUGCUAAGUCCUUCCACACAGAGAGGCCCUGAGGUGCCAGGCCCAACCAUCUGCCUCUUCACUUAAGAAACAAUUUGAACUCUCCACCCGGAGGCUAGAAAGGGAGGCAGCAUACUUUGAUGUUUGGAGGCUCAGCAGGUCAUUUCCCUGUGUGGGUCCAGAGCAGUGACCCAGGAGUUGGAGACUGUUCAGUUUUCAUGCACGGAGUACAUAUUAUGGAACCAGGCACUGUGCUAGACCCCAGAGAUAUAGCUGCGAGCAAAAUGACAUGUUGCUUACUAAAAUGUAGCUUACAGGCUAAUGCAAGAAAGAGGGAUGAAACACGAGUCAGCCAAUAGACACAAGCUUGCCAUAUGGUGACGAGCAAGGAAGCAGGUCUGCAGGCCAGGAAGCAGGGUCAGGGCAGGGUUUGUUUUGCUGUGGAGACUGGACACAGAACGGGUUGGUCAAGAGCAGACUUGAAGCAAGUAAGGGACUGCCCCAUAUAGGGGACGAAUUUUCCAGGCAGACAGUGGGAGUCAGUAGACCCUACCCCUCGGAGCCCCAGGGAGUGGGUUAGGAGUCUAGCCCAGCCUUAGACAAGCUGUCUGACCCAGGUCCUUCCACAUCUCUGAGCCUUAGUUCUGUAAACUGGCUAAUGGGCAUGGUGCUAGAACAGAAUGCCCAUGUAGGGCAGGGCCUAGGCCAGGUACUCAGGAGGCUCUUAUUAGUCCCCAGCUGUGAGAACCUGGAUGGGGACUACUUUCCGGCCAGCUGGAACGUCAAUUCCAUAUGCCUCACAUCUGCAUCCUGAGCGGCUGCUCUAAGCUGGCCUAUUAUUAUGCUCUGAGGACCAGAGAGGGCAGUGAUGGGACCUGGGAUGAACAGCACAUUCAAUCGGGCUACAU